rnacentral:rRNA from 1 species
UACAGAGGGUGCAAGCGUUGUUCGGAAUUAUUGGGCGUAAAGGGCGCGUAGGCGGUGCCACAAGUCACCUGUGAAAUCUCCGGGCUUAACUCGGAGCCUGCAGGCGAAACUGUGGUGCUGGAGUGUGGGAGAGGUGCGUGGAAUUCCCGGUGUAGCGGUGAAAUGCUUAGAUAUGACAUAGAACAUCGAUUGCGAAGGCAGCUCGCUACGCUAUUAUUGACACUGAGGCACGAAAGCGUGGGGAUCAAACAGG